GUGGGAGUGGAGGAGGAAGAGGCGGUAGGGGUACGGGGGCUGGUCCCAGAAGAUGGCGGAGGCGGGGCUGUGAUUGGGUUAUUAUACCCCUGCAUUGACAGACAUCUAGGAGAACCACAUAAAUUUAAAAGAGAGUGGUCCAGUGUAAUGCGGUGUGUAGCAGUCUUUGUUGGUAUAAAUCAUGCCAGUGCUAAAGUGGAUUUUGAUAACAACAUACAGUUGUCUCUCACACUGGCUGCACUAUCCAUUGGACUGUGGUGGACUUUUGAUAGAUCUAGAAGUGGUUUUGGCCUUGGAGUAGGAAUCGCCUUCUUGGCAACCGUGGUCACUCAAUUGCUAGUGUAUAAUGGUGUUUAUCAUACGAAUGUAAAGUUAUCGCAGAAAAAUCUCAUCAGGAAUGAAGAAGGCAAAAAAUAUCUUUUGUACAGAAAAACAAGAUGAAAAGGAUGUGAAAUGGUAGAUAUACCAACAAAACUUCAGACUGUAAAAUUGCCAGGAUGCAGUUUUUCCCUUGAUUGGCGUGUGUGUAUAUAUGGAUAAAUAUAUAUACACACACAUAUUACUGCAAUCUGUGAUUGCUUCAUCUGUAAAUCAGUUGCAAACCUUUACAUAUUUGACUUAAAUAACUGUAAGAUAUAUAUGUAUUACAUUAAAAAGUGUUGAUUAAUAGAUAAAAUUUUUAAAUUAAUUUUUUAAACAUGCCAUACAUUGUAUCACAAUGUUAAUGUGCCAAAAUAUUGUUCCUGUCGUGCAGAGUAUAAGAAUGCUUUGAACAAUUUGUAAACUUAGUGAAAUAAAAUAAGAGGAAAGCCAAAAACAAACAAACAAAAAGCAUAUGAGGAGCUGGUAUUUUCUCUUUAGCUUACUGUUGUGCCUUUUUAUUUUUCUAAUCACAGCAGUAUGAGUUAUGAGUGCCCUAAUUUGUGGUUAAUUUCUAAUUUAAUGUUGUUUCAUAGAGUUUGGAGUGUUUUGAUACAGGGUGAAAAUGAACUUCUGGUUUCAAACCUGCAUUACUGGAGACAGCCCAAAGAGUAAUUUUCUGUUUUGACAGAUUUUACUGGAAGUAUAUGUGAUGAGCAGAAGAGGUUAUCAGCAUUAAAUUAUUUUUGUUCUAGAUUUGGAACAGUAUAUAUAAUUAAAAGUAAGGACCAUCAGAGGAUUUAAUUAGAAUAAAUACAUGUUUUGGAAAUACAGUGACCUCUUGCAGUGCCACAAAAGUGCAAAGUGAUAUUAGCUGUCAUCUGCAAUACAGAAUCUCAUUGCUUUUGCACAUGGAGCAUAUAGGAAACUCCAAACAGAUCACAAUGAGAUUUCUAAUUCUGUUGGGUUCUGUCAUCUAUUGGGUUCUAUGAAGCAAACCACUGUAGCUUUAGCUGGGUUCAGUCAUAUGACUCAUUGUUAGUGGAAUGCCUAGUUUUUCAUCUUCAUGCAGUCUGGGGAGUGGAUGAAUACAUAAUUUCUUACGUAUUCAUGUAUCCAUUAGUGAAUAGUUCAAGUCUGUUUAAGAAUGUAUUGAGAUGGCAUUCUCUGCAUGUUAAAGAUCUUAGUGGCAACCAGCACCUCUUAAGUAUGGUUUAAACAUAUUCUUAGCUAAUUUUUUCCAUUAGUUUUUGAAAUUGAUGGCAGUUGUCUGAUCCACAAGGGCAAGAUCUUCUGAGUACUCUGGGGUGUGUGUAUGUGUGCACGCAUGUGUGUGUUGGAGUGAGUGAGAGAAUGUGUCUGUGCAUGUGGCCAUGCUUUCCUAGAAUGUCAAGUAGAUAUUUUUACACUUUGAGUUUUAAAACAAUUACUAUCAGACUGAGAUCUUGUAUGCCAAACUUUAAUCUGCUUUGAUGUUUUCAGGCUGAAGGUGUGAAAAUCCUAAGAGGAUUUCAUAUUGAAUAUGUGUACACAAUCUUAACUGUCGUGGUGGAAAACAUACUACUAUAAUUUAUUAUUAUAUCUUCCAGAUAAUGUUAUUCAUUUAGAACAAAUAAGGUAUAUUUUUUAGAAUCCACUUUGUAAGCACUAUAAAAUCUUUAAUAAGUUAUAAGGUCUAUGAUGUGUUUACUUUAAAAAUUGCUGUUAAAAGCAACAUGUAUUAAAUAUGUAAUUA
rnacentral:sRNA from 1 species